rnacentral:rRNA from 1 species
UACGAAGGGGGCUAGCGUUGUUCGGAAUCAUUGGGCGUAAAGCGCACGUAGGCGGUCUGUUAUGUCGGAUGUGAAAGCCCUUGGCUCAACUGAGGAAGUGCAUCCGAAACUGGCAGGCUAGAGUACUAAAGAGGGUCGCGGAAUUCCCGGUGUAGAGGUGAAAUUCGUAGAUAUCGGGAGGAACACCGGUGGCGAAGGCGGCGACCUGGGUAGAUACUGACGCUGAGGUGCGAAAGCGUGGGGAGCAAACAGG